rnacentral:sRNA from 52 species
UGCCGCAAAAUCGGCACACGGGAUUGGCGUCCCGGACAUCAAAACGACGCAUAACCGCGUUCGCGGUUUUUUU